rnacentral:tRNA from 1 species
GCGGGGGUAGCAAAGUGGUCAAAUGCGACGGACUUAAGAUCCGUUCCCUUAGUGGGUUCGCAGGUUCGAGUCCUGCCCCCCGCA